GUAAUUUUAAGGAAAUUUUGCUGUUUUUGGUUAUUAUCUUGAAUAUUAUUAUAGAUAGAGAUAACCUGUAAACAGCAAUAAUGUUCAGAAAAGUAAGAUUUACAAAUAAGUCAACAUGACUGAAAUGGUCAAUUGACCCCUAAGGAGUUAUUGUCCUUUAUAGUCAAUUUUUAACAAUUUCAUAAAAUUUGUAAAUUUUUACUAACAUUUUCCACUGAAACUACUGGGCCAAGUUCAUUAUAGAUAGAGAUAAUUGUAAGCAGCAAGCAUGUUCAGUAAAGUUAGAUGUACAAACACAUCACCAUCACCAAAACACAAUUUUGUCAUGAAUCUAUCUGCUUCUUUUGUUUAAUAUUCACAUAGACCAAGGUGAGCGACACAGGCUCUUUAGAGCCUCUA
rnacentral:lncRNA from 1 species